CCGCGCCGCGGGAGCCGGGGCAACGCGGGCUCUCCUCUCCCCGCCUUUCAGUGCCGGCCCCGGGGCUCGUGCGCCCCCUCCCCCGCCGCUGCGCUGCGGGGACCAGCGCGCUCCCCAGAGGUCCAGGGGGACCACAGGCAGCGGGGCUCGCCUGAACGAAAGCUGAGGAGAUUUCCCCCCUUAAGCUUGAACAAAACAGAUGAAAGCCAACUGCCUUCCAAUUUUCCUGCUGGCUUCCUCCGUCUCCCCCUCACACAUCGCCCUGAUCACUGAUGUAUUCAAAUCAGAAAAUGAAAAGCAUGCUAUAAAAAUGUGUGGCAGUGUGAAUGGAAAUGAACUGAUAUAAGAUGUGGAAGAGCCUGGCCAGCGUGGCUGAGUGGUUGAGUAUCUACCUAUGAACCAGGAGGUCACGGUUCAAUUCC